ACUAUUUUGGCAGAAUUAAGUGUAACAGAUUUAGAAUUUGUUAAUAUGAUUAAAUAUCAUAUAUAGUA
rnacentral:tRNA from 1 species